rnacentral:rRNA from 1 species
UGAGCAACCUGCCCUUAGCUCUGGGAUAACCCCGGGAAACCGGGGCUAAUACCGGAUACGAGUCCGAGCGGCAUCACGCGGANNGAGUUUAGUUCGUAGAG